rnacentral:sRNA from 1 species
AGCGUCAGGGAAGCGCUACUCGGCAGGAAGCCUGAGUCAUGGACUAUCAGGAUGAUCAAAGGUCAGGACGACCAGACAAGGAUGCCAUAUAAGGAAUGAAGAGUGGGCGGGUUAUCCCGCCCCUUUUUUU